GCCGGGGCGUCCCCCGCGGGAGCCCGCAGCCACCCGGGACGCGCAUCCAGACGUGGCGCUUCGGACCGGGCACGCUGCGCCCGGGGGCUCGGCGGACCCCGCGUAGCCGCCGCUUCGGAGCUUGUGCGGCGCGGGCUGGCCAGCGGGGCGGCCAGGGCCCGGCCCGCCUCCCCAGCGCCCGCCCGGCUUCUCCCCCUGGCGGUGGGAGCCUCGGCGGCCGCUGGCGACACUAGGCGCACUGAAGCCCGAGCCGAGCCGAGCCCGAGCCGCCGCCGCCGCCGCCGCUGCUGCGCACCGCUCCCGGGCUCCCUCCCAGCGCGCCGGCCGGGGUGUGGGGGGCGGCGGGCCGGAGGGGCGAGGGCGGGCCAGGGGGCGCACACGGGGGUUGGCGCGGAAGACAGGACCCUCAGCCUCGAGGGAGCCCCUAGGUGACCAGGCAAAAUGGCAGUUCCUUCCAGCUGGUCCUCAGAUGGGCACAUCUAUUAGCCUCUGCUCUUGUAAGAAGUUAGCUGCAGAACCCACAUGUGAAUCCUUGUAGGACUCUGGAGAAGAUCAAAUGGGAGCUUAGAUGUGGAAGCUCUUUGGAAACCAAGAAACACUCUGAAAAUGAAAAGGCAUAAGAAUGUUUAUCACAGCAUGGCAUAUAUUGGAAGUUUAGUAAAUGAAGAUACAUCCAAUCUGACAUUCUAUUCACAACCACAAAGAGAUAAUGUAGAAACAUAUUUAGUAAUGUGAGAAAAUACUAAAUAUUAAGUGAAAAAGGUGGAAGAGUAAACUGUUCCUGUUUCUCCAUCUUGACAGGAAGCAGAAGUUCUCCUUAGCUGAUUUUUCUUCUUGCCUUAUACUGGGUUCUUUAACACCAGAACAAAAAUAAAUAAAUAAAAGAAUCUUCCAGAAAUUCAUGAAGAGACUUCAGGUCAGGAAAGCCUGAACUUUCUCAUCCAACACCCGUUCAAGUCGGAGGAUGCUGAUUAAUUCAUGAUGGAAAGGUAUCAAUUUCACAGCCCAGACCUCUACAUUCUUGAAAUGCUCUUCUCAUGGGAGACAUUAAAUAAGCUUUGAAUUAACUGCACCUGUUCAUUCCAUUCCAACCUGGCUGUUCUCAAGGGCAUUAGAAGAAGCAAGAAAAGAAGAUAUUGUGACCAGUGGUUCACAGCAAUGCCCAGAAGAGUUAAAAGUGGUCUGAUGAAGAGUGUCUAGCCCUGCAGUGUUGGGAGGUAGGAAGCAGGAUGUUGCAGAAACUCAGCAGCCUGGGUGUCAAGGCACAUAAGUCAAGAAGGCCACUUUGGGCAGCAAAUAAAGAAACCAAGCUGACACCCAGAUAUGGAUAGUGAGAAAAGCUACUGUUAAGUGAAGUACACAGGACUUUGGGACGUAGGUA
rnacentral:lncRNA from 1 species